rnacentral:rRNA from 1 species
AUACGGGGGGUGCAAGCGUUAUUCGGAUUUAUUGGGCGUAAAGAGCGCGUAGGCGGCUUGGUAAGUCAGAUGUGAAAGCCCGGGGCUCAACCCCGGAAGUGCAUUUGAAACUAUCAGGCUUGAGUAUGGGAGAGGGAAGUGGAAUUCCUGGUGUAGAGGUGAAAUUCGUAGAUAUCAGGAGGAACACCGGUGGCGAAGGCGACUUCCUGGACCAAUACUGACGCUGAGGCGCGAAAGCGUGGGGAGCAAACAGGAUUAGAAACCCGGGUAGUCC